AACCUUUAUACUCUCUUCUCUUCUCCUUCUAACAUCUUUCUGCUUCAUUCCAAAACCAUUCCUUUCUUUUAAUAACUAUCACCUAUGAUUGAAUCAAUUAGGGUUGUCGAACUUUUGCGAAUCUAAACCUAAUUUUAAGCCCUACAAACUGAGAAACAAUAGAACCAGUCGAAUUGAGUCUCAAAUGCUACGCAAAUUUAGCUAAUUUCCCCACCUGAACACGCUUCGAUCUCUUCCCGCUGGUGGGGGCUCUGCAAAUCUCGUCGGAACUUUAUUUCUUCUUUAAUUUCUCCAGAGGAAGUUCUACUCUAUUGCUAAUCAAGGGACGGAGUUAAAUCUGGCGUCCGAUAUCUGGAAGCGACUUUUCGCUCCAAGAAGCAGAAGAUCUGCUCCAAUUGUUCCGAUUCUUCGCCUUGGUCGGCAAUUCAAUCAAAGAAUGGAAGUUAUCAACCCCUUCAAGCUCUGUUCGGGCCUCAAGUUCCUUGGCUACUUCAUGAUUGUCUUGGUUUUCGCCAUUAUUGCAGUGUCCUACGAUGCGGUUGUAGUGCUCACCUGGGGUCCCAAAUUACUCGUCGGCGGCUUCGACUCCUUCCUCGCGUUCUCUAUCAUCAUUUUGUUUCAUGUUCUGCUUUUACUCUUGUCGUGGAGCUACGUUAUGGUACUCCUUGAAGAUCCUGGUUCCGUACCGGACAAUUGGACAUUGGCAAGUGAAGCAGAGAAUAUGGAGGCUGGUAGUUCGUCAUUGCCGGAACAGGCACCAAUGGAUUUAGAUGGUGCCGGGAGAAGACCUACGACCUAUUGUCGUCGAUGCCAAAAUGGAAAACCACCACGUUGUCAUCAUUGCUCCGUUUGUCAAAGAUGUGUUCUUAAGAUGGAUCAUCAUUGUAUUUGGGUGGUUAAUUGUGUUGGAGCUCGAAACUACAAAUUCUUUCUUCUUUUCUUGCUUUACACAUUCUUGGAGACAACAAUGGAUACACUUGUUUUGCUGCCUAGUUUUAUCAAAUUUUUUGAUGAAGCCAAGAGCCACACCGGUUCUUCUCCUGCCAAUCUUGUAAUCCUUUUUUUAGCUUUUGUUCUUAAUUUAGCCUUCGCACUCAGUCUUCUUUGUUUCGUAGUUAUGCAUGCAUCUCUCCUGAUGAGUAACACAACAUCAGUUGAGGUUCACGAGAAGAGAAGAGCAAGUCAAUGGAAGUAUGACCUAGGAAAGAAGAAAAAUUUUGAGCAGGUAUUCGGGACAAAGGCAGCACUUUGGCUUUUCCCAUUGUUUUCGAAGGAGGAUUUGGAGAAAAUUCCUGCACUUCGAGGCUUGGAAUUCCCAACUCGUUCUGAUAUGGAGGCUUGACACCUUUUCCUUUUACUCCACUCAGUGUAAUGUGGCCCAUCGUGAUCCAAGGAUGAAACUAAAGAAGAAGAAUUUGUGUCCAUGGAAGUGCAGAAACUGGAGAUGGAAACAGAGAUCAAAACGAAGAUGGGAGCAAUCAUCAAAACAAGGCUAAAAGAAGUUAGCAAUUGAUAUGCAAGCUUUGUUGGAGUAGAGACAAUGCAAAAUUAUGGGGAAACAUCUACGGCCUUGUGACCUAAAGCUUGAAAAAGAAGAUAAAGGAAGAAUUGAGUGUGAUGAAAGAGUUACAUUAUGUGUAGUUGAUCAUCCAAUUUGAACAGAUUUUUGGAUGGCAGUAGUAUUUUGAUUUUGAUCCAUGGAAGUCAUCAAAAUGGGUUGAUCCAUGAAAGCAGAGAUGAGAAGAGACAUGAUAACAAAUAUGGGUGCAGUCAUCAAAAUAAGACCAAAAGGUACCAUCCAUAGUUGUCUGUUUGUAGGAUGAAAGCGGAACUCCCACCAACCAAACACAACCGCUCCCACCAUGCUUGUCACUGCCAUUGAAACCACCCAAGUUGCCAUCUUACAGCUCUUCAUAUUCUCCUUCAUUGCCGACUCCAUUGCAAGUCCAGCUUCUUCUCCACCCCCUGCAAAUCCCCAUGUUUUUUGACCCAUUACACACUAGGCUGUUAACAAGAACUGGAUAUGACUGAACCAAAAAGAAUGAAGAAAAAGAAAACAGAGGGAGAAAGAGAUGAGUGCAAAGGGGUUUUGAGGAUUUGGCAAGCAAAGCGUGAGAUUUUAUCAAGGUUUGGAAUUAGUAUCUGCAAUUGGCGUAGGUUGAGAUGCAAAUCCAAUGGAGUUAUUAGUGGGAGGUGAGGUCUGGUUGAGGCAUUAUUCCAAAAGCUUGGUGCCUCCAGACUAUGGAAAACACCCAGCAGACUUAAACUUAACCAAAAUAUCAUAAACAAACCAACCAACAUAUUUCUAUGAGCGCAACCUGUUUGUUUCACUCUCCAACUUUUACUUCAAAACUUUUUUGAACAUUCAAUUGUUUUUUAAACUUGUGCUUGAAAUUUUAUGUUGGAUGGUUUAUUAAAACUUUUAUGAAUAGUUUUGAUG